rnacentral:lncRNA from 13 species
UCUCUGAACCCAAUUAAUUUCCAUUAUUUCUAAAUUUUUCUCUCUUCUUCUUGUCCACGUAGGGCUAUGCAGUUUGCUCCUGUCACGGGCACCUUGAAUCUCCUCCUCAGACUGAUUGAGACCAUGCUUGAUUUCCUGCACUUUUAGUAAGAAGAAGGAAAACACAGCACACAUGAGCCAACAGAAUGAAGAUGCUUUGAUUUCAUUCAUAUGCCAUCUCCAGGGGAAGUCAUUUGAGAUCAAAACGUUUUUCAGAAGGGAUCU